GUCAUGCCCAGCACCUAACCUGCGAACGGGCAUACUCUGGAAAUGAGAUUGGAAUAAUGGUAGAGUUGACAUGACAUUUUAUCUUUUGCACUUUUAUUUUCAAAUUUCACAAUCAAAAGACAAUAUCUCAUUUUCCUGCGGUCCAUUUUUCUGAAUCCGUUUUGACGAUUUAUAGUUAAUAGAGAAAAAUUUGAAGCGAGGUUUAAAAGAGAGAUUUCUAGACGUUCUUGAACACGUUGAAUAACGAUUGCAUAAACUCUGUUUUGUAGACUUUCAUGCUUAGCAAAUGUGCAAAGUUUGA